UAGCAUCCACUGAUAGGCCUGUUGCCAUAAUUGGUGGCCUCUGGGUUUGCACAAGGAUGCAACAGUAAUGUUCCUCAUGAUGUCUGGCCAUCUUUAAGGUGGCUGGAAAGGAUUGAAUUGAGGAAAAUAGGA
ensembl:snoRNA small nucleolar RNA SNORA31